rnacentral:rRNA from 1 species
UGCUUGGUGUUUCGCUGACGAGUGGCGGACGGGUGAGUAAUGUCUGGGAAACUGCCUGAUGGAGGGGGAUAACUACUGGAAACGGUAGCUAAUACCGCAUAACGUCGCAAGACCAAAGAGGGGGACCUUCGGGCCUCUUGCCAUCGGAUGUGCCCAGAUGGGAUUAGCUAGUAGGUGGGGUAACGGCUCACCUAGGCGACGAUCCCUAGCUGGUCUGAGAGGAUGACCAGCCACACUGGAACUGAGACACGGUCCAGACUCCUACGGGAGGCAGCAGUGGGGAAUAUUGCACAAUGGGCGCAAGCCUGAUGCAGCCAUGCCGCGUGUAUGAAGAAGGCCUUCGGGUUGUAAAGUACUUUCAGCGGGGAUGAAGGGAGUAAAGUUAAUACCUUUGCUCAUUGACGUUACCCGCAGAAGAAGCACCGGCUAACUCCGUGCCAGCAGCCGCGGUAAUACGGAGGGUGCAAGCGUUAAUCGGAAUUACUGGGCGUAAAGCGCACGCAGGCGGUUUGUUAAGUCAGAUGUGAAAUCCCCGGGCUCAACCUGGGAACUGCAUCUGAUACUGGCAAGCUUGAGUCUCGUAGAGGGGGGUAGAAUUCCAGGUGUAGCGGUGAAAUGCGUAGAGAUCUGGAGGAAUACCGGUGGCGAAGGCGGCCCCCUGGACGAAGACUGACGCUCAGGUGCGAAAGCGUGGGGAGCAAACAGGAUUAGA